rnacentral:rRNA from 1 species
CCUACGGGGGGCAGCAGUACGGAAUAUUGGACAAUGGGCGCAAGCCUGAUCCAGCCAUGCCGCGUGCAGGAUGACGGCCCUAUGGGUUGUAAACUGCUUUUAUACGGGAAAAAACCCCUCUACGUGUAGAGGGCUGAUGGUACCGUAAGAAUAAGGAUCGGCUAACUCCGUGCCAGCAGCCGCGGUAAUACGGAGGAUCCGAGCGUUAUCCGGAGUAAGUGGGUGUAGAGGGUGCGGAAAGUGAUUGGUGAAAUCCUGCAGCGUAACUGUAGAACUGCCAUUGAUACUGCAAGUCUUGAGUACAUAUGAUGUGGGCGGAAUGUGUAGUGUAGCGGUGAAAUGCUUAGAUAUUACACAGAACACCAAUUGCGAAGGCAGCUCACAAAACUGUAACUGACGCUGAGGCACGAAAGCGUGGGGAGUGAACAGGAUUAGAUACCCCAGUAGUC